rnacentral:lncRNA from 1 species
GUUUAUGAUGACACAGGACCUUGUCUGAACAUGGUGAUUUCACAUUUUGAGCUUAAAAGGAUACCCUGAAAUCCAGUCAAUGUGCCUCACUAGACUUUUCAGAGAAUAUUAUUCUUGACAGAAAAUGUUGGCUUGAUAUGUGAAAACUUAGUUAGAAAUGGCAGGUGUAGUAGUACACUUUGCCAGUUCUUCAAAUACCUAUUUUUUUCCCUUUUCAUAGGUUUGUGUGAGCUAAUUCUUUUUUUUCUCUUUUUCUCUUACACUAUAUAUACACACACGUGUGUGUAUAUAUGUGUGUGUGUGUGUGUGUUUGUGUGUGUAUGUACCCACAAACACUGUUCAAAACAAAAAUGGAGGCUCGUCCUUGGAUCUCAGAAGGCCGCAAGUGGUGACAUGGAAACAAAGACAUGUAAAAAGCAGAUCACCACCUCUUACAGCAAACAUUGAGUGACAAAGUUCUAAAUAUCUAAGUGAUGUCCAAAAGAAUAUUUAUGGAACAUUUUAAGAAGACGGUGAGUGUGAGAUUUGAAACGUGAUGCCAACUAGAAGGUGAGGAAUUGGCUAUCUAUCAUUCAUGGACAUGAAUGGAGCCUAAGAAAGAUGGACAAGGAUUUCAUCCAGAAACUUUAAGAUUCUUUUUUUGUGCAUGAUAGGUACUGAUCAGACUCCAUUAAAUAGCUGUUUUGGAGAUACCUUUCAUAUUGGAACUUCUGACUGGCUCCUCAUUUUCUAGCUUCAGAUUCUCUAAUUCAUCUGUCUGCCAGUGGGAAAGAAGAUGAACCACAUCACACUCUUCAUAAAUCUGCAGUUGACAUAUUUAAAAAGUUAAUUAGAAAUAAGCAAUAAUCAGGGAAGAGGACAAAGAUUAUAUAAGUUGAUAUUGAGAGCAUCUUUUGUCACUGUCGAAACUGAAAAAUUUUCAUGUUUAUUUACUGAACAUUUGGAUUCAUAAAUUUCAGACAUUUCUUUAAACCUUUGGUCCAUAGGAACCUCAAGAAAUUUACACAGCAAGAUACAAGAUGAUUGCAACCCAGAAUGAUUUAGGGUAGUUUUGCAAACCUUUUUUCUGUUAACAUAGUUAAGGAGAUUUUUCUGGAGUAUCCUGAGAAGUUUUGCUUGUGGACUGCUAGAGAAGUUUGCACCUCAUGCCAAUUUAAGGGGUCCUUGGCCAGGCCUAUCCUGUAAAGACAUUCUUUAGAUCUUUUUGUCCUGAAUUCAUUUGCCUGAUCUAACAGCAGCAGGAGAACAUCUCUCACACCAGUUUUCUCCCCAAGAUGGCAGUGUGUGAAGGGUAUCUACUGAAUUGAAAAUUAUUUGGGCUGGGUAAAACUUGAAGUGCUGGGCUAUUCUGGACAAUCUCAAGUAAACAUAAGCCAACCUUGUAGAUAUAUGUGGACAGGAAGCUAAGGAUAAUACAUUUUAAAUUCAGCUAGAAGCUUUCAUUAGCUACAAAAUUAUAGACAAAAUAAAAAUUUAUAUUCGCCUAAAGCAGCUUCUUGAUUCAGAUAUUUACAUUUCCUUAGUUAUCUUUGGAUUUGGGGUGGAGUAAGAAUGUUUUCCUUGCUGUGUGUGGAAUAUCAAGCUAACUUCAAAAGAUUUACUGGUAAAAGCCCUAUAUAAAUAUAAAUGGUAGUUGUAUGCAUAUGUGAUAAACAAAUCUUAUUCCCUACCCUCUUGGCAUUUUAAAACAAUUUGGAAUCAAAUCCUGUUAAGUAAUUUACUGGACAUAUAUAUCUUAUGAAUUUAUUUAAAUAUUUAGGAAAUUGUGUUUGGGUAAUGGUAUCGAAAUUAAAAUAUAAAAUGCUCAGUGAAUGAUUAAUACAUGUGAACUGUUCAUUGGACAUUAUAGAGAGAAUGAAAUUCAAUAUGUAAUAGUUUAUAUUAUUGUAUUUUAUUCUUUACUCAGUCUUUUUUUAUAAAAAAAUAUUAUUUUUAGAUACUUUUGAAAAUGAAAAUUGUGAUAGUAGAACUUAUUUCCUAAAGAAGUUUUACAAACCUUUUACAUGUUUGGUAAAAUUCUCUUCUGGAAACACUUUUAGAAGGGGAUUCCGAGAACAUUUUGUAAGCUAUGAAGAAUUCUAUAUUGUUUAUGGAUAGCAGAAAAGAGAUAGACAUGGGAACAUUUAAUACAUCAAUCAGAAAAGCAAAGGAAGGUACUAGUUAUUGUUUAUAUGAAAUAACCAAAUAUAUUUGCUUUGUGACAUUUGUUAAUGUAUUGCAAAUGCUAACAAGGAGUUUGGUAAAACAUAUAGAAUAAUUAUUUUUAUUACAUGAUUAUAGAAGUGCUAUUGUUAGAAUGUACAUCUGAGUAAUGUACAUUUGAAAUCAUUUGAUUGGAUUAUUGCUUUUGGUUUUUGGUGGAGGGGAAUGUCCUGUAUGUAACUGUCACAUAAAUUUUAUUAAGUCUGCUCUAACUGAAUAUAGAUAUUAUCCUGUAAAUGGUCAUUAUGUUAAAAUUUGUAUGGGGCGAUAUUACCUUAUUGUGGAACUUUUGCGCAAUGAACACUUGCCUGUUAAGGCUUUAGUGGUCCGUUAUAUUGGUUUGUAUAUGUAAUAGAAAAGGUACUCUGUUACAAUCCCAUCAGUAAUAGAGAGGACUGACAUUUGAGGCAUUUCAGUUAUUAUAAUGUAGUGUUGAUUACUGAGACAAAUGUCUAGACGACUACAGAUUAGGCAAAUAAAAGCUAGAUAGAGAAUAGAAAAUUUCGAUGUUUGUAUAUAUGCAUACGCACAGAGACAUUUAAAAGGGCACUAAGGCUUUAUUCUCAGAUAUUGGGAAUCUAUGACUAUUCUAUAAAUAAUCUAAUGUUUGGUUGGUAGUUUUUUUUUUUGCCAGUGGAAUUGUUAAAUUAUCUCUCCAUAUUAUCUCAUUUUCUGGUAGAAAUUGUUAAAACUUUUUGUUACAAUGUUAAUUUUUUCUUUAACCUCUAUAGUUUUCUACAUGUAUAAACAUUAUAAAUACAUAUCACUCUAAUAGUAUAGAAAUAUUUCUAUUUGGCAAAAGAGAUGUUCCAUCUAGCCUCUCAUUGUAAUCAUUGGGUACAUCAUUAGGCUGAAUUUAUAGGUUAUGAGAAUUUCAUUGUGUAGUGCCUGGUAUAAAUAUAUCAUUGCUUUAUGACAGGAUUCCUUAUGAUGAAAACAUCACUGGACUGCUUAUUUGUGGUUUUUGGAUAUGUGUGUAUACAAAUAGAAUAUAACACUUUGAGUAACAUAAAAAUCUCUGCAUUUGAUAAAAUAGCAUAGCUUAGAAAAAUUUUCAGGGGUCAGUGGAAUUUGACUUUUGAUGAAAAUAGUGAAUUGCUUUAAAACACUUUUUUUCUAGUUGUAGGGAAAUUUACAAAUUUAUAGAGAAUUUACAAGUUUUAUGGGUGAUGUUAGCCAUGAUCCAGCAGACCUGAGUACACUAAAUAGUGGCUUGAUCAAGAGAAUGUUUUUGCGUUAUGUGUAUUCAAUAGACACCACUGCUAUGCUUUUUAAGCAUAGAAAUGAUUAUUUCUGUGUGUUUUAGCUAUACAUAGAAGUAAACAGUUCCUUAAUGAUUGUCAGAUUAUUUCUGAGUAGAUAAUUUGGCAGCUGAAGUGUGCUCUUUUAGAUGGUCGUGAAUAAAAUAGAAUAUAUGAUGGUUUUUGCUUUACACUUAUCAGGAUUUCUUACAUAUAAAUAUGUAUACAUGGACAUUUGUGUGGAAUAGAUGUGUUCAUUAAAAGGCAUAGUAUAGAAUUUUUUUUGACCCAAUUAUCUUAGCUUUAGUCUAUGUUCUUUGGGUUGUUUGGUCAGAAGUUUUUUCCAGUCUAUUAGAGGAUAUUGUGAGGCUGCUAGAUAUGUGGUAGACAAAUUUAGUGUUUUUUUCUUAUGAUACCUACAAAGGACCUGCUGAUUGAGGUAUAUAUAUUGUGAGUACCAAACUGAUAGACGAAAGUGAAAACAGUAUUUUGGUAAAUUGGAUUGCUAAACUAUGUCUAUUUGAGAUGUUUGGUUGCUUGCUGAGGAUUAUGUUAGUAAUUUGUUUUCUAUAUAGAGACAUACAUUUGAUAAAACAUUUUUGGUUAUAUAAUUUCUGUCAGUAAUUUUAGAAAUAUCUUUUAAAAUGUUAAAGUUAACAGUCAUUGAUUUUAGAGUAAGCAUAUUUAUAAAUUAGGCUUCAUACUGACUUUAACCUAGGUAUUUCGAAACUCUGUCUUCACAUACACACAAACAAACAGAAUUAAUAUUUUAAUGUAGAAAUAAUACCGAAAAAUAUUUUUAUUGUUGUGGCCACAUUGGUGGGAGAAAAAUAUCAAUAGAAGUGUUACAUGACAUCUAUGUGUUUACACAUUGUCAGGGUUGUAAUUCUGUGCAUGUGAUCAAAUUUUUGUUUUUAUACCACAUUAUUCUAUAGCUGUCCAUAAAUUUCUAUCAUAGUUUUGAAUAUUUGCCUAAAACUAAUAGCACAUAAUCAUUUUUUUUUUGUUUGUAGAAAUGUAAUGGUACACUAAGCCUCACAGUUGUAGAAUGUGACUUUUAGACUGAUGUUAUACAUAGUUAUGUUAAAAACACAUUUUUUUCUAGAUAUAGACAUUUCUGAUACUCAUAUACUUUUUAUUUAUGGAACAUGUAGAUAUAACUUAAUUUCCAAGAUGUGUUGUGGCUCAUGAUGCAAUUCAUUUUUCUGCAGAACAUUUUAUAGAAAUGUUUCUGAGUUUGUUACCUGGCAAUAACCAAGAAAAUUUUGUAAAUAAGCAGCAAGAGAAAUAUUUUGUUUUAAACAACUAGUAUUUCUAAAUGGAUUGAGAGUCUCAAAAGGUAUAAUUUUGUAAAUACUGCAUUGUAAGUAUGUUAAUCUUUUAAAAUUAAUGACAUGAAAUUGACAAACAGGGCCUGGAGUUUUGCAAAAUUUGUCAUGUGUUUGUUUGGUGGUUACGAGGAAACAUUGACAAGAUUAUGCAUUUACCCUGUUCUCAUAUAGGAAAAUAAUUUGCCAUUUUAUCAAGUAUGUGUAUUUAAAAACUACACCAUGUAAAACUAUACCAUUUAAAAACCUAUGCCAUUUAAAUUUAUUUGGUGUUUUUGGAGGUACCAAUAUUCCUGAUGUAUUUUAUGUUAUGAUCUUUUAUUAAGCCUUUUUUUUUUUCUAGGAGCAAUUUUAUGUUCACGGCAAAAUUUAGGGGAACACACAGGGGUUUUCCAUUUACUCCCUGUCCCAACGCAUAUAUAAAUCCUCCUCUGUUAUCAACCCAACACAUGCAUAAUUCACCCGCAUUAUCAAAUGCCCCAUCAAAAUAGUACAUUUGCUACAUUGAUGAACCUAAGUUGACACAUCAUGUCACAAAUCACCCAAAGUCCAUCCUUUACAUUAUGAUUAACUUAGUAUUGUACAUUCUGUGGCUUAGACAGAUGUAUAAUGAACAUAUAUUCAUCAUUAUCACACCAUACAUGGUGUUUUAAUGGACCUCAAAAUUCUCUGUCCUCCAGUUACUAAUUCCUCCCCUUAUACUAUUUCCUUUUUCCGUCUCUUCCUUCCUGCCAACAUUCAAGUUAAUAAGUGACUUGGUUAAAAAGAUUUUAUACUACCUCUUGGAACUAUACACAGUUCUGUAUGUGUUCCCUUUGUUGCAUGACAAUAUUCAAGACAACUUUGUAAAUAGGCAGAUAUGAGUUUUUAAUUUUUAACAUCUGGUCUUUCUAGAUGUAUAGUCUCACAAAGUACAAUGUUGUAAAUAAUUAAUUGUAAAGUUUCAUGGUUUAUUUCUUCACCUACCAGUGAAAUUGAUACACUUGUGGAUUUCAUGAGUUACACAUAUUUUGGAAUCUGUUUCUUGAUUUGUUACAGCAAAGCAGAGGUUAAAAGGGCAGUUUUUCAUUUUUGCCUUCUCAGCUGAAAGAAAAUUUUACAUUUUAAUUACUCAGUGCUUAGAUUUUAUUUUAUUUGUAGUUGUAUUGCUGAUAGGAAAUUAUAUUUCAAUCAUAAGAAAUGUGUAUUUAAAAAUUUUAUUCACUCUGAAUUAAUAUAGUUUGGUAUUUAUUCGGACUGCAUAACACCAUUCAAGACAAUUUUGUAAAUAAUAGGAAAUAUGUCAUUAAAAAGGCUACUUUUUCUAUAUGCAUGGAAUUUCAUGAGUAUAAAUUUGUAAAUAUCUAAUUGUAAAAUAUCAUAAAUUGGCUUCUAUAAAUGUUUUAACAACUUAGGUAAUUAAUAAUUGGGCUUUUAAGUCUUUGUAACAUUUUUGUGUUUAUGCCACGGGCUUUCUAAGGAUAUCAUUAUGUUCUCAUGCAUAAAAAAUGUUGAGAUUAUACACUUUUAACAAACAAAAUGUCCUUGGGAUUUAAUUUCUCUUUAAGAAGUAAAAGAGACAGGAGAAGGUAAUUGUCCUUUUAAACUAUAGAUUUAUUUAUAGUUAUAUAACUCUGCUAAAAUAACUGCUAUUUUGAUAUGCCAUAUAAAGCUACUGUUUGAAAAGCUAGUAUAGAAGCCUUCCUUGUGUAAUAUAUAAAGGAAUAUUAAUUUUUAUAUAAAACAGUUAAGCUGUAACAUUUCUGUUAUGUUUAUUUAAAUACAUCUAUCCAAAAACAAAAUUUUUGUUGGGAAUAUAUCUGCUAUUAAUUGAAGUGUAAAUAAAUAUAUCAUUUUGAAUAGCAGUUUGGCAAUCAAUCAAAAUUUGUGUAAAACUUUUGAAUUGUUGGAAUUUGCUGAUUACAUUUUAUCUAUUCCUACUCAAGUAAUAUAAAGAAGAAAGUAUGUUAUAGGUUGAGUGUAAGACUAAUGAUAGCUUAUUCAUAUGGAUAUCAUUGAAAAACACUGAAAUAUUCUGAUAUUGAAGGAUGUUUUAAGUUGAUUUUUAAAAUUGUCAGUUUUGAAGAAAGGUCAACUAAAUAUGUAUAAGAGGUCUGUCCAUGUGCCUCUGGUUUCCUGAUUUAAAUAUUCAUUGUUAUUACUGGAAAAUGGGGCUGUCUAGAUACAAUAAUGUGAAGAAAUGCUUACUUAUUUGUGUUACUAUAAUGGCAUUCUUCUUGAAAUUUUUGUACAUGUUUAAACACUAAAACAAUGUUUAUAACUUUGUAUAUUGCUAUGUGACAAUCUAAAAUGCAUAUAGGGGUUAUUGUAGAGAAACUUGCCUGAAAAAACAUGGCAAAAUUUUAACAUUACUGUAUAAAGAGAUGAGAAAUUAAGGGUCUGCUGCUACUUUCCCACAUUUGUAAUUUUAAAGGUGUUUCAAAAGCAACGUUUAAACAACGAAGGGAAUUCUAGAGAUAUAAUUGAUUUGUGCCUGUCCUGAUUGUUGCCUAUUGACAUCUUGGGAAUGUUGGGCUGUUGUAUCCAACUUUGUAUCCUCAGUGGCUGUAAUGAAUAGUUUUGAGUGAUCAUGAAGAACCUGUGACAUAGACUAGUGCAGCAGAGUUACCCAGCGAAAUAAAGACUGUUGGGUUACCGAAGGAAAGAAGAAGAAAGAAGACAGGAUUUGAGGUGAACAUGGUAAAAAAUGACACACUUGCAUAUAACCUGAGGAUAGCUGGCAUCAGGAACAUCCUUAUGCAACUAUGCCUAUGGAGUUCUUAUUCUUAUGCAAACAUGCCUAUGGAGUUCUUUCAUUUAUAAAUUUCAAAUUUAAACCACAGGUGAUGACAGUUACAAGAAAACAUACUUUUGCCACUUUUGUUUUUAAAUCUCAGUAAUUGGUACCACCAGACCUGUUGCAGUAUUCUCAUUCCAAGUGUUCUUCACUCCCAUCUUUGGACCCUGGAGAAGCCCUUGGCCAUCAUAAUCUGUGUCCUUUAGGUGAUGAUUGAUUAGGAUACUGAUCACUUCUGCAACCAUCUUCACUAAAAACCAAAAGACAGUCUUCAUAAUGUAUGUAGACUCGGCAUUGAUGUGUUACAAUAGACACUCCCUGUAGAUCAGAAAAACUGGACUUAGAAGGCUCAAGUUCGAAAGUGACGUGAAGGAUGUUAUUGGAGAGAAUUGUAACCAGGCAUGUUGAGAGAUUUCAAUUGUUGCCAUUGGACUAAAUCUCAGGAGCUUUACUGAUGGAGGCAUCAUUACAUGGAGAAGAUCAGCAUGGAGUGAUUGCAAGGCUUCGUUUCAGUGCUCUCAUAAACAUUAGGUUCUUGUAUUUAAAAUUUUAACUUAUCACAGGGAAAUUUAAAAUUGAUUCAUAAAAAAUCGUCUUUUUCAAGAUCUCAAAGGACAUGGAAAUUUGUGAAGUAUGUUUUUACUUUGCCUUUUCCUAAUUCUAUACAUCCUUUCUAGUGUAUUGAUAAAUUAAUAUGCAAGUCAUUUGGGGGUCUCUAUAUUGGCUAUAGAUUUUUCUUUGCCGUAAGUAUGACUUACUGAUAAAUUGUAAUUUGCCUGAAUAAUUUGUUGAAAUAGUUCCAGUGAAGUAGAACUGCUACUUCUGAAGAUAUCCAAAAUUUAUAUUUUGAGUUCAAUCUACAGAUUUCUCCCAACUGUAUAGAUGGGUCCUCAUCAGUCUUGUUCCCCAGGGUCUAUAUCCCAAAAUUAUACAAGUAUUAGCUGUUUAAUCUUUGGUAAUGUGAGAUUAUACAGAAAUUGCUUUUCUCUGUUGUUUAGCUUGGUCAUCUUCAUGUUAUGCUUAAUCUUUACUGGUCACUUGUGUUAUUUCAUUUUCCUUUUUUUUUCAUUUCCCUUGGAAUAUUAAUGUCUGUGUUACUGAUUUCUAAGAAAUCAUUUAUAAUUAAGGAUGUGAACCAUUUGUCAUGCAUCGGGAAUGAAAUACUGUGUAUUUAUGCCACUAGUUUACUAUGGUGUUCUGUAUUUUGGUUGUGUAUUAAAAUAUAAUUGUGUUAUGUUUUAUGCCCUUUGAGUUUUGUGUUUUUCUUUAAAAAUAUGUUUGAUUUAGUAUCAUUUCUUGGUCUGUAUUCAUUUUUCAUCAAAUAUUUCAUCAUUUCUCUUUCCAUUAUGAUUAUUGUGCUUUUAAAUCAUUACAUAUUCAAGUU